GUCGUUGGAGGUGUGGUUCUGUGCUGCCUGCUUGGAGAUUAAAGUGUUUAUUUUCGGCAACACACUAUUGCCGUGGCACCUGGGAGCGUCAAGUAAGCCAUUUCAGAAGAAAGUGAGGUGCAGGACUGAACUAAGUGGCUGAUCCAAGGAAUGUCCUAUGUUGAAAAGCUGGGCAAAUCAGAAGAAAGAACUCCCCUACUUAAAGGUCCCUCAGGAUGUUUGCCUGUGAAGAAAAUCAGCUCAGAGACCCUGGAAGCUCUCCUGUGACAGUAUGUCCUAAAGCCCAACCCAUCCACCUGUUUACAUGUCUGUGCUUCUGAGAACCUAGAUGCAGCUACAUAGGCACUGCUACCAGAGAAGAGGUGAGGUAGCCGGGUGGUGAGGAAGAGAUCUCUCCUUUCACACCUGCUUACGAUGAUGACAUUUGGACCUCUAUGGGCAUCUCCAUUCCAUUCCUCAGCAGGCUAUGCCACAGAGCUCUGUUCAACACCAGGAGACUCAAUGCAGGAAGAGUACCAGAGCGUCCGCUGAGAGUCAGGUAAGCAUGAAAACCUUCACAGCUUACUGCACAAUGAAAUGUCAUCCACAGGACUUCUGAUCUUGGUACGAGAAUCUUGUCCAGGACUCACAGGGGCUCAUGGUGCCCACAUUCAACCCUAACAUGGUGUUCACUUAUGAAGCAUGGAGGUUGUGGAUCAACUCUUGGUACACAAUAAACUGGAAGUUUAAAAAAAGGAA
rnacentral:lncRNA from 1 species